rnacentral:rRNA from 1 species
AACGAACGCUGGCGGCAGGCUUAACACAUGCAAGUCGAACGGGAUCUUCGGUGCUAGUGGCAGACGGGUGAGUAACACGUGGGAACGUACCUUUCGGUUCGGAAUAAUUCAGGGAAACUUGGACUAAUACCGGAUACGCCCUUCGGGGGAAAGAUUUAUCGCCGAUAGAUCGGCCCGCGUCUGAUUAGCUAGUUGGUGAGGUAAUGGCUCACCAAGGCGACGAUCAGUAGCUGGUCUGAGAGGAUGAUCAGCCACAUUGGGACUGAGACACGGCCCAAACUCCUACGGGAGGCAGCAGUGGGGAAUAUUGGACAAUGGGCGCAAGCCUGAUCCAGCCAUGCCGCGUGAGUGAUGAAGGCCUUAGGGUUGUAAAGCUCUUUUGUCCGGGAAGAUAAUGACUGUACCGGAAGAAUAAGCCCCGGCUAACUUCGUGCCAGCAGCCGCGGUAAUAC